rnacentral:rRNA from 1 species
UCAAUACCUCGGGAAACUGAGGCUAAUUCGGAAUACGAUUCACCACCUGGAGUGGUGUGAAUCCGAAACGCUCCGGCGCCAUAGGAUGUGGCUGCGGCCGAUUAGGUAGACGGUGGGGUAACGGCCCACCGUGCCCAUAAUCGGUACGGGUUGUGAGAGCAAGAGCCCGGAGACGGUAUCUGAGACAAGAUACCGGGCCCUACGGGGCGCAGCAGGCGCGAAACCUUUACACUGCACGAAAGUGCGAUAAGGGGACUCCAAGUGCGAGGGCAUAUAGUCCUCGCUUUUUGCGACCGUAAGGUGGUCGCGGAAUAAGUGCUGGGCAAGACCGGUGCCAGCCGCCGCGGUAAUACCGGCAGCACGAGUGAUGACCGCUAUUAUUGGGCCUAAAGCGUCCGUAGCUGGCCGUGCAAGUCCAUCGGGAAAUCCGCGCGCUUAACGCGCGGGCGUCCGGUGGAAACUGCAUGGCUUGGGACCGGAAGACCAGAGGGGUACGUCCGGGGUAGGAGUGAAAUCCCGUAAUCCUGGACGGACCACCGGUGGCGAAAG